UACGAAGGGGGCUAGCGUUGCUCGGAAUCACUGGGCGUAAAGCGCACGUAGGCGGACUCUUAAGUCAGGGGUGAAAUCCUGGAGCUCAACUCCAGAACUGCCUUUGAUACUGGGAGCCUUGAGUUCGGGAGAGGUGAGUGGAACUGCGAGUGUAGAGGUGAAAUUCGUAGAUAUUCGCAAGAACACCAGUGGCGAAGGCGGCUCACUGGCCCGAUACUGACGCUGAGGUGCGAAAGCGUGGGGAGCAAACAGG
rnacentral:rRNA from 1 species